GGUGAAGAAUGCUCCCCGACAAGGCGGAGACUCUUCCUACGAUCAAGCCACAGCCUCGACGUUUAUAAAGGUAUAAGGAUCCGUCAGAGGCAGUCCUCGCUUUAUGGGGCUCUUAAGACGAGCUCUGUUUAUAAACAAAUCUGUAAUUAAAGGAUGUAUGACAUAAGCAAGAUCUAUGAUCCGUGCAAAGAAAAAAUAAGCUGAGGAAAGUAACGAAUGAUCCAUUUUGAUGACGGUAGGGAGGGAAAGGAGGUGGAAUUUGAUCAAAAGAAGGACCUGCGCAGCAGGGCAGACGAUGAGAGACAGGUUACGAUAGCUUGGGAGGAAGUUAGGGUUGGAAGAAGGCAGCCUACAAGUGUCCCUGUUGCUGUGAAAUAGCAGAAUCCGUGACAGGAGUGCCAACGAAGCCUGAGGCUCCCCAGACGUGGCCUCGUUUGCUCUGACACCCCCAUAUGAAGGAUAAUCUCUCCUUCGAUCCGGGUGGGGAGCGUGAAGCAGAGGCUAGGAGAUGCCUGCCCCUUACAGAGAUAAGGCAGCAUGAAUGUCUGCCGUAUCUGUCUGUCAGCCUAGAAAUCCACUUGGGUCCAGAGCCUACUCCACUUUGAAAUAACUGGAAGGAAAAAGAUCAGGAGAAUGGAAGAGUACCAAAUUCCUUCUGGCUUCUGGGCUAGAUUAUUGCCCGUGUUGUCUAUUUGGACCCAGGCCAAAUAUUUCUUCCACUCUAGUGUGAUGUCUUCCCGAGACAGCACCGGAAACAUGAACGGAUGAACUAUGGCCUCUAGUUUGGGCAAAUCCAGGAAUUUCUGCCUGUGGCUGCUCUACGGCGGCAAUGAACCCAGAGAGGCUAACAGUGUCCAGAACCAGACUAAACCCUGGUUCUGUAAUACAGCUUGGGAAUCCACUAGAAUAAACGUGGGCCUGACAUAUGGUCAGUCUCCCCGCUAUGCCUAGGGACGUCAUCCAGGAGUGGCACAUGAUGUUUCAAGAAGCCAGGUUGCAUCAGCCCUGCCUUUCACGGUGCUACCUCCCUUGGAGAAGAUUGGCAGAAUGUUCUUCAAUCCAGAAAGGCCGCUCGGAAAGAUUUUAAUCUGGCCUAAAUGAGAAAUACUUCUCAGAGCUGUGUGGGCUUCUCCAAACAUACCUAGAAACUAACAGAUUUCAUGCUCACUUCUAUCACCCAGCAAGCAAUCAUGGGUCACCAAACCAUAAAUCGGCAGUUAAUGGAUUUUCGUCUACAUGCUCUGGCCUUUGGUAUCAUUUUUAAUUUGGUUUUAAUUUGUGUUGAUCUCCCCUUGCUUCUUUGAUCUCCCAACAUCUUCAGAUUAGAGGAUGCUGCAGCGACCACCUCCCCCCAGUCCUAGACGGUCUGGAGGGAAGGAAGGACACAUGACUUUUCAAACACCAUCUUCUACAAGUGGAUGGCAGAGUCUACGAAGAAGAAACGAUAUGUGUUUAGAGGUGGGGGUGAGGAAGAAGCAGACUGAGAGCAGGCUGGAUCUUCUUACGCCAACUCAACGCAGGAGGAAUCUGUCCCGCAAUUCACGUGAUGUCGGCCUCUAGAGAAGAACACUGGUAAACGAAGCAGAUCCGCUGCCAGGGUGACACAGAGAGGGACGAGAUGUGGACUGACAAGGUGCCCGAAUAUAUAUUUUUCUGAACUAUGAUGAAUUUUUUUUUCCCGCGGAGCCAGUAUUCUGACCACUGUCCCACGUUGACACUUUUAUUAUCUGUAGCUCAAUUUCAUGGAGCAGAUUUGGUUUUCUUUUCCGAUCGCAAGAUUCUUUCAAAACAAAUCAGCCUCACUCUCUGGUGGUACCUUUGUUUUGUUCCUCUUCCUGGGAGGACGUUCCUUGAGGACAGAAUUCAUGUAGCUCUGUGUGGAAUAAAAUCAUUCAUUUUUUUUUUUUCCCAAGAAGCCUCUUUGUUCAUUCCCCUUGCUUCCACAAAUAACCCAGGCCUUCUUCUUUUUUUUUUUAUUAUGAGAAUAACAAAAGUAAAUAAAUAAAAGGUGAUAUUU